UUACUGAGUUUACGCUCUAUAACCCUUUGUGAACAUACCUAUAACUGUUGCUUCGGCGGGUAGGGUCUCCGUGACCCUCCCGGCCUCCCGCCCCCGGGCGGGUCGGCGCCCGCCGGAGGAUAACCAAACUCUGAUUUAACGACGUUUCUUCUGAGUGGUACAAGCAAAUAAUCAAAACUUUUAACAACGGAUCUCUUGGUUCUGGCAUCGAUGAAGAACGCAGCGAAAUGCGAUAAGUAAUGUGAAUUGCAGAAUUCAGUGAAUCAUCGAAUCUUUGAACGCACAUUGCGCCCGCCAGCAUUCUGGCGGGCAUGCCUGUUCGAGCGUCAUUUCAACCCUCAAGCUCUGCUUGGUGUUGGGGCCCUACAGCUGAUGUAGGCCCUCAAAGGUAGUGGCGGACCCUCCCGGAGCCUCCUUUGCGUAGUAACUUUACGUCUCGCACUGGGAUCCGGAGGGACUCUUGCCGUAAAACCCCCAAUUUUCCAAAGGUUGACCUCGGAUCAGGUAGGAAUACCCGCUGAACUUAAGCAUAUCAAUAAGCGGAGGAAAAGAAACCAACAGGGAUUGCCUCAGUAACGGCGAGUGAAGCGGCAACAGCUCAAAUUUGAAAUCUGGCCCUAGGCCCGAGU
rnacentral:rRNA from 1 species